rnacentral:rRNA from 1 species
AGGGCGCACGGUGGAUGCCUUGGCACUAGGAGCCGAUGAAGGACGGGACUAACACCGAUAUGCCUCGGGGAGUCGUAAGUAGACUUCGAUCCGAGGAUUUCCGAAUGGGGAAACCCACUGUUCGUAAUGGAGCAGUAUCCAUAUCUGAAUACAUAGGGUAUGGAAGGCAGACCCGGGGAACUGAAACAUCUCAUUACCCGGAGGAAGAGAAAGCAAAUGCGAUUUCCUGAGUAGCGGCGAGCGAAACGGAAUUAGCCCAAACCAAGAAGCUUGCUUCUUGGGGUUGUAGGACACUCCACACGGAGUUACAAAGGAAUUCUUUAGAUGAAGCUACCUGGAAAGGUAAGCCGUAGAAGGUAACAGCCCUGUAAUCGAAAAAGAAUUCUCUCCGGAGUGUAUCCUGAGUACGGCGGAACACGUGAAAUUCCGUCGGAAUCCGGGAGGACCAUCUCCCAAGGCUAAAUACUACCUAGUGACCGAUAGUGAACCAGUACCGUGAGGGAAAGGUGAAAAGCACCCCGGGAGGGGAGUGAAAGAGAACCUGAAACCGUGUGCCUACAAGUAGUCGGAGCCCGUUAAUGGGUGACGGCGUACCUUUUGUAGAAUGGACCGGCGAGUUACGAUUGUAUGCGAGGUUAAGUGGAAGACACGGAGCCGUAGCGAAAGCGAGUCUGAAUAGGGCGAAUUAGUAUGCGGUCGUAGACCCGAAACCGUGUGAUCUACCCAUGUCCAGGGUGAAGGUCAGGUAACACUGACUGGAGGCCCGAACCCACGUAUGUUGAAAAAUGCGGGGAUGAGGUGUGGGUAGGGGUGAAAUGCCAAUCGAACACGGAGAUAGCUGGUUCUCUCCGAAAUAGCUUUAGGGCUAGCCUCAAGGGAUGAGUAUUGGAGGUAGAGCACUGAUUGGACUAGGGGCCCUCAUCGGGUUACCGAAUUCAGUCAAACUCCGAAUGCCAACUACUUUACCUUGGGAGUCAGUCUAUGGGUGAUAAGGUUCAUAGACGAAAGGGAAACAGCCCAGACCGCCAGCUAAGGUCCCAAAGUAUACGUUAAGUGGAAAAGGAUGUGGAGUUGCACAGACAACCAGGAUGUUGGCUUAGAAGCAGCCACCAUUUAAAGAGUGCGUAAUAGCUCACUGGUCGAGUGACUCUGCGCCGAAAAUAUACCGGGGCUAAACGUAUCACCGAAGCUGCGGAUUGUUCUUACGAACAAUGGUAGGAGAGCGUUCUAAGUGCUGUGAAGUCAGACCGUGAGGACUGGUGGAGCGCUUAGAAGUGAGAAUGCCGGUAUGAGUAGCGAAAAAAGAGUGAGAAUCUCUUUCACCGAAUGCCUAAGGUUUCCUGAGGAAGGCUCGUCCUCUCAGGGUUAGUCGGGACCUAAGCCGAGGCCGAAAGGCGUAGGCGAUGGACAACAGGUUGAUAUUCCUGUACCACCUCAUGAUCGUUAUGAGCGAUGGGGGGACGCAGUAGGAUAGGGAAUGCGCACCACUGGAUGUGUGCGCCCAAGCAGUGAGAGUGUCAGGUAGGCAAAUCCGCCUGGCGUAAGCUCAAGCUGUGAUGGGGAGCGAAAUAUAGUAGCGAAGUUCCUGAUUUCACACUGCCAAGAAAAGCCUCUAGCCAGAUCAUAGGUGCCCGUACCGCAAACCGACACAGGUAGGCGAGGAGAGAAUCCUAAGGUGAGCGGGAGAACUCUCGUUAAGGAACUCGGCAAAAUGACCCCGUAACUUCGGGAGAAGGGGUGCUUCUUGCAUGAGAAGCCGCAGUGAAUAGGCCCAAGCGACUGUUUAGCAAAAACACAGGUCUCUGCGAAGCCGAAAGGCGAAGUAUAGGGGCUGACACCUGCCCGGUGCUGGAAGGUUAAGGGGAUGGGUUAGGACUUAGGUCCGAAGCUUUGAACCGAAGCCCCAGUAAACGGCGGCCGUAACUAUAACGGUCCUAAGGUAGCGAAAUUCCUUGUCGGGUAAGUUCCGACCCGCACGAAAGGUGUAACGAUUUGGGCACUGUCUCAACGAGAGACCCGGUGAAAUUAUACUAUGCGUGAAGAUGCGCAUUACCCGCGACAGGACGGAAAGACCCCGUGGAGCUUUACUGUAGCCUGAUAUUGAAUGUCUGUGCAGCUUGUACAGGAUAGGUGGGAGCCAUUGACUCGUGAGCGCUAGCUUACGGUGGAGGCAUCCGUGGGAUACCACCCUGGCUGUAUGGACCUUCUAACCCAGGACCGUGAUCCGGUUCGGAGACAGUGUCAGGCGGGCAGUUUGACUGGGGCGGUCGCCUCCUAAAAGGUAACGGAGGCGC